rnacentral:sRNA from 1 species
GUUGUGGUGGUUUGUUCUGUUGUGGUGGCUUGCUAUCUUGUGUUCUGUUGUGGUGGCUUGCUCUCUUGUGAACGCUUGCUAUCUUCUGUGAACAUAGUGGUCAUGUCUAGCCUCUCUUGUGUUCUGUUGUGGUGGUUUGUUCUGUUGUGGUGGCUUGCUAUCUUGUGUUCUGUUGUGGUGGCUUGCUCUCUUGUGUUCUCUUGCUAUCUU